GUUGAAACACCACCUCUCUUAUGAUCACGGAAGUUAAGCAACGUCGAGCAUGGUCAGUACCGAGAUGGAUGACCGAUUGGGAAGCU